rnacentral:misc_RNA from 1 species
AACGCAUAUGGCACCCUAGACCUCGGUCGAGGGUAUAUCUGUCUCAGAGUCGACGUGAAAACAUCCCCGCCGGAAGACCCACGCGUCUUUGACCCGGUCGGGGGAGCUGGCCCCCCCGGAGGCAGAGGGAACCUUUUAAGUGCCCUGGACCCUCCGGGUCGGCUGAAGGUGAGAGACGGGGGACCGCAUGCGCCGGGCUGCCACGAUUUUGGUGGGAGGACCUCGCGUCCACAUCAUGGAUCGGCGGCGCCCAACUCGAGGCAUGGUCGGUCUUAUGGCCCCGCCCUUGCAGGAGAAAAAGGGUCCACCGGACCGUGCUUCCGACCUGAGAUCAGGUAAGAUCACCCGCUGAACUUAA